UGUCGCGAUAGCUCCUCAUGUCGCGAUAGCUCCUGUCACGAUAGGACCCCAUGUCGCGAUAUGAGCUCAUAUCGUGGUGAGUUCUCAUGUCGUGAUAGCUCCCCAUGUCGCGAUAGGCCCCCAUGUCGCGAUAUAGCUCCAUGUUGCGAUAGUUCCUCGUGUCGUGAUAGCCCCCCAUGUCGCGAUAUGAGCUCAUAUCGUGAUAAGUUCUCAUGUCGUCAUAGCUAUCCAUGUCACGAUAGGCCCCCAUGUCGCGAUAUGAGCCCAUAUCGUGAUAUGUUGUUGUGUCGUGAUAGCCCCCCAUGUCGCGAUAGGCCCCCGUGUCGCGAUAUGAGCCCAUAUUGUGAUGAGUUCUCAUGUCGCAAUAGUUCCUCAUGUCGUGAUAGCCCCCCAUGUCGCGAUAGGUCUCCAUGUCACGAUAUGAGCCCAUAUCGUGAUGAGUUCUCAUGUUGUGAUGUAUGGGGCAGGGGCUCGAUGUGUGGGGCAGGGAGCAUCAUGUGUGGAUCAGGGGGUCAAUGUGUGGGGCAGGACCGUACCUGUGGGGCGGGGCUGGGCCGUGGGGCAGGGGCUCAAUGUGUGGGGCAGGGCCAUACCUGCGGGGCAGGGGGCUCAAUGUGUGGGGCAGGGCUGUACUUAUGGGGCAGGGCCGUACGUAUGGGGCAGGGCCGUACCUGUGGGGCAGGGGGUAGAUGUGUGGGGCAGGGCCGUACUUAUGGGGCAGGACCGUACUUAUGGGGCAGGGGGUAGAUGCGUGGGGCAGGGCCGUACUUAUGGUGCACGUGGGGCAGGGGCUCAAUGUGUGGGGCAGGGGUUCAAUGUGUGGGGCAGGGCCGUACCUGCAGGGCAGAGCCGUACUUAUGGGCCAGGGCCGUACUUAUGGGGCAGGGCCGUACUUGUGGGGCAGGGCCGUACCUGUGGGGCGGGGCUGGGCCGUGGGGCAGGGGCUCAAUGUGUGGGGCAGGGCCGUACUUAUGGGCCAGGGCCGUACUUAUGGGGCAGGGCCGUACCUGUGGGGCAGGGCUGGGCCGUGGGGCCAGGCGCGGGCGCUCGCAGACGCCGCAGAGCACGGCGGGGCCGCGGUUGCGGAAGGUGCAGGACGCGCAGCUCCAGCCCCACGGCGACGCCUCGUCCGGGGGGCUGCCCCAUAGAAAGCCUGACGUUACCGCGCGCGACCCAUAGCGACCCACUGCGCCCCAUAGGGACCACGCUGUGCCCCAUAGAAACCCCAUUCUGCCCCAUAGAAACCCUACUGUGCCCCAUAGGGAGCCUACUGUGCCCCAUAGAAACCCCACUCUGCCCCAUAGACAGCCCAGCGUUACCGCACGGGACCCAUAGCGACCCACUGCGCCCCAUAGAAACCC
rnacentral:lncRNA from 1 species